rnacentral:rRNA from 1 species
AUUGAACGCUGGCGGCAGGCCUAACACAUGCAAGUCGAGCGGAUGAAGGGAGCUUGCUCCUGGAUUCAGCGGCGGGCGGGCGAGUAAUGCCUAGGAAUCUGCCUGGUAGUGGGGGAUAACGUCCGGAAACGGGCGCUAAUACCGCAUACGUCCUGAGGGAGAAAGUGGGGGAUCUUCGGACCUCACGCUAUCAGAUGAGCCUAGGUCGGAUUAGCUAGUUGGUGGGGUAAAGGCCUACCAAGGCGACGAUCCGUAACUGGUCUGAGAGGAUGAUCAGUCACACUGGAACUGAGACACGGUCCAGACUCCUACGGGAGGCAGCAGUGGGGAAUAUUGGACAAUGGGCGAAAGCCUGAUCCAGCCAUGCCGCGUGUGUGAAGAAGGUCUUCGGAUUGUAAAGCACUUUAAGUUGGGAGGAAGGGCAGUAAGUUAAUACCUUGCUGUUUUGACGUUACCAACAGAAUAAGCACCGGCUAACUUCGUG